UCAAAUCAAGGCAAGCCUCAGGGCACGAGAGUAGGGCUGUUACCUCCGCCGAGAGAUGCCUGAAAUAGUUGAACACACGGUGUUACACCUGCGCCGUAGCUAGGUUCUGCCCCUUAUUCGUACCCCUAGUACUCAUUGUCAGGAUCGUAACCCCGACAGCCAUCCUUGGAGCAUGGUAAGGUGGCCUCCCUUACCCGAGCACGCACAGACGAUGUCCGCCUUCUCAUCCUCCACCGCGGCUGUAGCCGUCUCCACCACUGACAGUUGUGCCACCCCUCACCUUCUCGUCCUCCGCCAUGCUGCCCGACCACUCCUAACCCCACCCUAGAUCGGAGCCUCAUUCCUCGCCCAGCCUCCCACGGCUCCUCCCCUCGAUGUCGGCCUCCAUGGCCCCUGCCCCGCCUUGCUCCAUCCACCUCCAGAACCACUACCUCUAGCUCCCCGCCGGCCACCGGAGCCCCGCUGAACCUCAUUCCGGAGCUCCCUCGUGUCUCGCAGCUCUGGAUCCAGUGAACCGAUCUGAUCAGCCACUCGUCAUCCAUCCAGGGCAUGGCCAUCAGGGUCCCCGGCCGCCCUGCCACCACUGGAUAUGCAUACCCAGCACUUGCCCAUCGAUGGAUCUAGCAGGAUCCUCCUCUGCCGACGGCGAACUACCUCAACGACGGCUCCCGUCUGGAUCAAGGAGGUGCUCUCAAUGGCCGACAUAGCUCACUCCCCCUCUCUGCUUGAUCCCGUGACCCCCCCCCCCCCACCCACCGCGCGCCUCCCGCGCCACCCAGGCAAUGGAUCCAGCCCCACCGUGCAGCCCACGUGACGGAUCCGGCCGCCGUAGGCCCACAGCACAGUCCCGGAGAAGGAGCAACAGCCAUGGAGUACUCCAGGAGCAGAUCAUGCCCAAAGGGACCACACCCAGGAGAUGGUCGUGGAUCAAACUGCUGCGCCCCGGGGCUGGUGCUUGUGAUGAGCGACGAGGAGAAGCAGGGACCUGGGAGCGCAUGGAUGAUGGAUGCGCGAAGGAUGAGCGCCUUGGACCUAGAUGAUGGAUUCGCCUGGGGCCUGGGAGCGACGGAGGAUGGACGCCUGGGAGUGCCGAGGAGAAGCGAUUUGAAAUCCUAGGAGCAAAGGGGGAAGACGACGAUGGGGAUAGCGAUUCAAAACAGGGGUAGCGUUGUAAAUUCCUUCAUUUCAAAACAGGGCCUCGAAAUGUUCUCUUCAACGCCAUAUAUUUCAAAACGGUGGGAGCAGUUUCAUGCCUAUAUUGAGCACCAUUGUGUCUCGCUCCCAUCACAAUUGAAUAUUUCUCCAUUGUAUUGUUAUCGUAUAUGAAUACGCAUGAUAAACCUGGAUUACUAUC